GCCCAUAUCACGUUGAAACACUGGCUCUCGUGCGAUCACCGCAGUUAAGAAAUUUUGAACCUGGCCAGUACCUAGAUGAGCGACUGCUUGGGAAUACCAGAUGCU